UAUCACCCCCUCAUCCCCUCCCCGCCAUAUUCUAAAAGCUUUCUUCUUCUACCCCCACCCCGCGCACCGGCAGAAGUAUGUCUUGUGUCCUCCGUAAAAGAUCCGACUGCUCCAGUAAACCCGGAAAAAGGGUCCGAGGACAAAAAAGAUGAGAGAAGAAGAGACAGGAGGAGAGGCAUGCACGUCUCCAGAAUGACAACAACAGGCACAGGAGGAGGAGAGAGGAAGAGACAAAGGAGCUGAGAAAUGCACGUCUCCAAGAUCAGAGACAAAGAACAAACAGCAGGAGAGAUGAAGAGACGGUGCAUGAAAAGACUGCACGUCUCCAGAAUGACAAUGAGAGGCACAAGGGUGGCAGAUCAACCAGAAAUGUUGCCAUCACAAGUGUCCUUCGUUAAACAAGGAGGAGCUAUAUUUGCCUUGCCACAUGUCUUUCUUCUUUAAUAAAGUGGUUUUUAUUCUUCAAUUUCCAGAGCAAAGCAAUACCAAUAGCAUUAAGGAAAAUUUAAUGUUCAUUUUGGUCACAUCAGACUGCACUAUCUUUCUCUCAAAGGGUGCCCCAACAAGUCUCCCCGUUGUCUAGUAGUCAUUAACACUGAAGUCAAAAGAAUUAUUGCUGCUGUGGUAACGAACAGAAAAUUAAAACUCAAGUGGUAUGUUAAUGAUUGGUUGUUUGGUAAGAAGUGCAUAGUGGUAUUCCUAACGGGUGUGCACUGUCACUUAUUGACCUACAAUUCCAAACUUGGAGAAAACAUUAAAGCAGGGGGCAUUUCAAGAACAGUAGACUUCAAGGGAAUGCAGAAAGGCUGGAGGAGAGGGCUGGUGAAAAUUAGCGGGGGAGACAAUAUAAAGAAGAGGGCACAAUUCUACAAAAGGUAAAGAAUGGAGAUUUGAGAGUGUAAUUGAAAGUGAUGCGGUCAUUAAAAAACUAUGGAACCCUAAAACUACAAACAUGUAAGGGAAUCUUAAUUUUGGAAAAACAUUCCAGUUCUUGAGCACUGCAGUUCAAGGGUCUGUUAAAAAAAAAUGCACGAAUAAUUUCAUUGUCUAGGGACUUAAAGGAUAAAUUGGAAAUACUAAGGUUGCUCUCUUCACUACAGAGAAGAUUGAGAGAUUAUCUGAUAGAUAAUUAAAAUAAUUAUGGUUGCAAAUGAGCAAAUAGAAAUUGUUCCUAUUUGCAGAAUUAUUAAUAAUUAAUUUGGAAAAUAAAAUUAAAUACAUACAGUAAGAACAGAAGAAAUAACAUGAGUAGGCUAUCCAGCCUGUUGACCCCUGUCUGCUAUUCAUGGCUGAUUUGGCCAUUGUCUCAGCUCCACCUACCUGCCUUUUCCCUAUAACCCUCAAAUCCCCUGCUAUGCAAAAAAUGUGUGCGGCUUAGAUAUAUUUAAUGAGGUAGCUUCUAUUGUUUCCCUACAUGGCAUACCGAACCCCACCCCACCAAAUAACACCACCAUAAAACCACAAGACGUGGGUGCAGAAUUUGGCCAUCCAGCCCAUCAUCAUUUCAUUAUGGCCAAUCCUGGAUCCCACUCAACCUCAUACACCUGCCCCCUCACCAUAUCCCUUGAUGCCCUGACCAACCAGAAAUCUAUCAACUUCCGCUUUAAAUAUACCCACUGACUUGGCCUCCAACAUGGUCUAUGGCAGAGCAUUCCACAGAUUCACCACUCUCCAGCUAAAAAAUUUCUCCUUACUUCUGUUCGAAAAGGCUGCCCCUCAAUUUUGAGGAAUUGCUCUCUAGUUCAGAAUACCCC